CAGUCGCCGCGGUAAUACGUAGGGUGCGAGCGUUAAUCGGAUUUACUGGGCGUAAAGCGUGCGCAGGCGGCCCGUUAAGACAGGUGUGAAAUCCCUGGGCUCAACCUAGGAAUUGCGCUUGUGACUGGCGGGCUCGAGUACGGUAGAGGGGGGUGGAAUCCCUGGUGUAGCAGUGAAAUGCGUAGAGAUCAGGAGGAACACCGAUGGCGAAGGCAGCCCCCUGGGCCUGUGCUGACGCUCAUGCACGAAAGCAUGGGGAGCAAACAGGAUUAGAUACCCCCGUAGUCCCUGUCUCUUAUAC
rnacentral:rRNA from 1 species